rnacentral:rRNA from 1 species
AGAGUUUGAUCCUGGCUCAGGACGAACGCUGGCGGCGUGCCUAAUACAUGCAAGUCGAACGAAACUUUCUUACACCGAAUGCUUGCAUUCACCGUAAGAAGUUGAGUGGCGGAAGGGUGAGUAACACGUGGGUAACCUGCCUAAAAGAAGGGGAUAACACUUGAAAACAGGUGCUAGUACCGUAUAUCUCUAAGGAUCGCAUGAUCUUUAUAUGAAAGAUGGUUCUGCUAUCGCUUUUACAUGGACCCGCGGCGUAUUAACUAGUUGGUGGGGUAACGGCCUACCAAGGUGAUGAUACGUAGCCGAACUGAGAGGUUGAUCGGCCACAUUGGGACUGACACACGGCCCAAACUCCUACGGGAGGCAGCAGUAGGGAAUCUUCCACAAUGGACGCAAGUCUGAUGGAGCAACGCCGCGUGAGUGAAUAAAGUCUUCGGAUCGUAAAACUCUGUUGUUAGAAAAGAACACGAUUGAGAGUAACUGUUCAUUCGAUGACGGUAUCUAACCACCAAGUCACGGCUAACUACGUGCCAGCAGCCGCGGUAAUACGUAGGUGGCAAGCGUUGUGCGGAUUUAUUGGGCGUAAAGGGAACGCAGGCGGUCUUUUAAGUCUGGUGUGAAAGCCUUCGGCUUAACCGGAGUAGUGCAUUGGAAACUGGAAGACGUGAAUGCACAAGAGGAGAGUGGAACUCCAUGUGUAGCGGUGAAAUGCGUAGAUAUAUGGAAGAACACCCUUGGCGAAAGCGGCUCUCUGGUCUGUAACUGACGCUGAGGUUCGAAAGCGUGCGUAGCAAACACGAUUAUAUACCCUGACAGUCCACGCCGUAAACUGAUGAAUGCUAUGUGUUGUAGGUUUCCGCCUUCAGUGUCGCAACUAACGCAUAAGCAUUCCGCCUGGGAGUACGACGCAAAGUUGAAACUCAAGGGAUUCGACUGCGGCCCAGCACAGCGGUGUAGCAUGUGCAUUAAUUCUAUGCACGGGAGAAGCAUACAGGUCUUGCAUCCUUUUGACACUAACAGAUUAGGAUGCCU